UAUUACAUUUACUGAAAAACGAGACGACGAGUAGAAGAUGACGAUCAAAACAAAAUAGAUAGAUGAGAGAAUCUUCUCAGGGUUAGAUAGUUAAGACACACACUAAACUAAACAGAGAGAAAGUGACUCACACAAACAAAAAGAAUAUCAUGCGAAAAGCAAUGGUGGAAGAUUCCAAAAACAGGGACCGAAUUCUAGACCGCCCGAUAGGUAGGAGAUUGUCCGCAUCACGACGGUUGAAAACCGAACGGACUCAAUCUAUACCAAAACUUCCGCAUGACAUUUUUGAGUUUAGCAAAGCCAUCUUGACUAGGAAACCUUGAGCGAUUGGUAAAUUGUAAAACUAAUUAAAUGUUUAAAAUUUUGUAUUGAUAGUUGAAUAAUUAUAUUUUAGAACCCUUGAAAAAGGUCCCAUACGGACCGAAACGUCGGGAAAAAUCAUAAA